rnacentral:lncRNA from 1 species
CCCCGAGCAAUCUGCUCUCUCAGAGCCUGAUUCUCCGCCAGUAGCUGUUCCAUUAAUGCAUCUCUACUUCCUACCUCUCCUUGAUCAUCAACCCUCCGUCUAUCAGCAGGAGGAGAUUUUUCUCUUUGGGGCUCGACAUGUGCAGAACCCGCAUCCAAUGCUAUAUCUGGCUCCAUUCUCCUUGGAAGUAUUCUUUAUAUAUCUACAUACUGAGUCAUAAUAUAUUUUACUGAAUUAUAAAUGACUCACAAAUUAAUAUACAGAAAAAUCCUAUGCUCCAUAGUAUAAUCCUAUACUUAAUCCUGACUCACCCUAUUGCUCUGACAGGACUCUUGUUUAAC